ncrna:unclassified sequences ROOL RNA
ACGGCUAUUUUCAAAUAUGAUUACCUCGGUGAAGAGUGAUUUUUCAGUCAUGCCGAGAUGCAAUGGUGACGAGAUAGGCUUGUUCGAGAUAUUGGAUAAGCCGAUUCUUUCUAGUGGGAGUGAUUCCAUUGGUGAAGACGGAAACCAUCAACAAUGCCUUGCAGUGUAUCAUCAUAGAGAAGUCAAAUGCAGAAUCCUUGUGGUCAGUGAUUAAUAGACGUCUGCGGUGCAGAAAUAAUCCAGUGAUGUGAGUGGUGUGAGAGACUACGGACUAACUGGAAAUUCUCAAUAAGCUGAUUUGCCUUGAAUCCGAGAAAUCGGAGUAUAACACAAGAGGUUCGUUAAAGUAGCGGUAUGGCAAGUUCUUAAAUAAGCAAUUUCGAUAUGAGCAAUGCAAAGGGUGCAAAAUAGGCGAAAACAUUAUCUGAAAGAACCGUGAAAUUUAUGGGUAUCAAUCCCAUGUGUGCUUUGACAGUGGUAGGAAGCCAAGAGUCGCUCUCAGAAGCUCAGACCUAUCAUCACAGUGGCAGAAUAUGACUUUUACCAUGAUUGAAUAAGGUGAAGACCUAAUUGUGUUUGAAAAAAUGU